UACCAGCACCCCGAGUGGUCGGGACGAUUAUUGGGCCUAAAGCAUCCGUAGCCGGUUCUGCAAGUCUCCCGUUAAAUCCAACUGCCCAACAGGUGGGCUGCGGAGGAUACUACAGAGCUAGGGGGCAGGAGAGGCAAGCGGUACUCAGUGGGUAGGGGUAAAAUCCGUUGAUCCAUUGAAGACCACCAGUGGCGAAGGCGGCUUGCCAGAAUGCGCUCGACGGUGAGGGAUGAAAGCUGGGGGAGCAAACCGG
rnacentral:rRNA from 1 species